rnacentral:rRNA from 1 species
CACGUAGGGGGCGAGCGUUGUCCGGAUUCAUUGGGCGUAAAGCGCGCGCAGGCGGCUCGGAAAGUCGGGUGUGAAAGCUCGGGGCUCAACCCCGGGCGUGCAUCCGAUACUGCCGGGCUUGAGGCAGGUAGGGGAGAUCGGAAUUCCUGGUGUAGCGGUGAAAUGCGCAGAUAUCAGGAGGAACACCGGUGGCGAAGGCGGAUCUCUGGGCCUGUCCUGACGCUGAGGCGCGAAAGCGUGGGGAGCAAACAGG